rnacentral:misc_RNA from 1 species
GAUGAAGAACGUAGCGAAAUGCGAUAAGUAAUGUGAAUUGCAGAAUUCAGUGAAUCAUCGAAUCUUUGAACGCACCUUGCGCCCUUUGGCCAUUCCGAAGGGCAUGCCUGUUUGAGUAUCAUGAACACCUCAACUCUUCAUGGUUUUCCAUGAUGAGCUUGGACUUUGGGGGUCUUGCUGGCCUGUGGGUCGGCUCCUCUCAAAUGAAUCAGCUUGCCGGUUUUUGGUGGGCAUCACAGGUGUGAUAACUAUCUACGCUUGUGGUUUUCCACCAGGGUAACCUUCAGCAGUGGAGGUUCACUGGAGCUUACAAAUGGCUCUCCUCUGUGAGGACAGCCCUUUGAAUGUUUGAUCUCAAAUCAGGUAGGACUACCCGCUGAACUUAAGCAUAUCAAUAAGCGGAGGA